AUUGAACGCUGGCGGCAUGCCUUACACAUGCAAGUCGAACGGUAACGGGCCUUCGGGUGCCGACGAGUGGCGAACGGGUGAGUAAUACAUCGGAACGUGCCCGAUCGUGGGGGAUAACGAGGCGAAAGCUUUGCUAAUACCGCAUACGAUCUACGGAUGAAAGCAGGGGACCGCAAGGCCUUGCGCGGACGGAGCGGCCGAUGGCAGAUUAGGUAGGUGGUGGGAUAAAAGCUUACCAAGCCGACGAUCUGUAGCUGGUCUGAGAGGAUGAUCAGCCACACUGGGACUGAGACACGGCCCAGACUCCUACGGGAGGCAGCAGUGGGGAAUUUUGGACAAUGGGCGCAAGCCUGAUCCAGCCAUGCCGCGUGCAGGAUGAAGGCCUUCGGGUUGUAAACUGCUUUUGUACGGAACGAAAAGCCUUCUUUUAAUACAGGAGGGUCAUGACGGUACCGUAAGAAUAAGCACCGGCUAACUACGU
rnacentral:rRNA from 1 species